GUCUAAGUAUAAGCUUCUAUACGGCUAAACUGCGACGGGUUUAUUAAAUCAGGUACAGUGUAUUUGAUCGUCUUUACUACAUGGAUGACUGUGGUAAUUCCAUGGCUAAUACAUGCGCACAUGCCUCUUCCUCUGGAAGGGCAGUGUUUAUUAGAUACAGAACCAACCCACCUUCCGGUGGGCUCCCCAUGUCUCGGGGAGAACGAAGGAUCAGACGUCACAGCAUCACUGAAGUAUCCGUAGGGGUGCGACGCGUUAGAUUAACGUAACAACACAGCAGGUAGAAGGUGUGUGAAA
rnacentral:ncRNA from 1 species